GGAAGUAAAAGUCGUAUCAAGGUUUCCGUAGGUGAACCUGCGGAAGGAUCCUUAUUGUAUAACCGAGGUGCGAGGGCUGUCGCUGACCCGAAAGGUCGUGCACGCCCGAGUGCCCUCACACACAUCCAUCUCACCCCUAUGUGCACCACCGCGUGGGUCCCCCUUUGGCUUGUUCGGAGGGGGGCUUACGUUUUCACACAAACUUUGUAUGCAGUGUAGAAUGUAUUUUUUGUUUUUGCGAUCACGCAAUCAAUACAACUUUCAACAACGGAUCUCUUGGCUCUC
rnacentral:misc_RNA from 1 species